ACCGAGUUUACACACUCCCAAACCCCUGUGAACAUACCUAUUGUUGCCUCGGCGGAUCAGCCCGGCCCCGGUAAAACGGGACGGCCCGCCAGAGGACCCUAAACUCUGUUUUUAGUGUAACUUCUGAGUAAAACAAACAAAUAAAUCAAAACUUUCAACAACGGAUCUCUUGGUUCUGGCAUCGAUGAAGAACGCAGCAAAAUGCGAUAAGUAAUGUGAAUUGCAGAAUUCAGUGAAUCAUCGAAUCUUUGAACGCACAUUGCGCCCGCCAGUAUUCUGGCGGGCAUGCCUGUUCGAGCGUCAUUUCAACCCUCAAGCACAGCUUGGUGUUGGGAUUUGCGGAGUAAUUCGCAGUCCCCAAAUCUAUUGGCGGUCACGUCGAGCUUCCAUAGCGUAGUAAUUACACCUCGUUACUGGUAAUCGUCGCGGCCACGCCGUUAAACCCCAACUUCUGAAUGUUGACCUCGGAUCAGGUAGGAAUACCCGC
rnacentral:rRNA from 1 species